ACUCACAUUGAAAAAGCUCCUUUUUAGAUUUUCUUUUUCAAUUCGCAUUUGAGAUUACUUUGAAGAAAACAUGACUUCUUACAGGUAAACAGAAUACCAGAGCUGUGGAAAAAAAAUGGAAUCAUCCUUUUGAUUGAUUUCACAGUAUGUCUUAAGAAUCUGAAGCAUUUUAGGAAGGUCAAAAUGACUUUUCCCAAUUGUGUUGUCUGAUGCUGAGAAACAGCACUAGGUUCACUAAAGGCUUGUAGAUAGUUACUGAUAAACUAAAGAACAUAAGUAAAACUACUUGGAUAUUGCUAGUACAUUUCCGUAGAAAGUUGCAUAAUAAUUCAUUCUGAAUUUUAAUGAUGACCAAACACACUAUGUAAUUUGAACCACAUUGAUAUAUUUUUGAGGUUGGUUGUAGAGCAGAAGCUGUACAAUUUGUUUCUGUUGGCUGCCAUUGGCAAUCCUGCACUAGAAGCGCGUGUGCUUUGGCUGGGAAAAAGAACGAUCUUCUAUCAUUAGGCAAUAGAAUUGAGCAAGAGAUGGGAUCUUGUGCCGUGAUGGAGAAAUGAGAUGUUUUCUUGGAAAUGCACCAGAAGGUCAAGCACUUUUAUGUAACUUCAAAGCCGAAGGAGUAAAGAACAUGCUGCUGCUUUGUAGAGGCUGCUUUUCCUAGAAGACGCUCACCCGCAGAACCCAUAUUCAGCAAAAGUCAAGUUUUUGAGAGAGAGUUUUUAGGAGCAGUGGCUUCAUAGAUUUGUAAGACUUGACAAAAAGAAUAAUAGAAGGAGGUGGUCAAUGCCUGCUGUUUAAAUAUCUUGGCACUGAAAAAUUGUUUGGACGUCACUUUAAGUUAAGUUAUUUACCUGGACUUCAAAUAUCUUCAAGAUUUUCUCAUCAGAAAUGCCUUCAUUUUUUGAGCUCAAUUUAAAUGUGAAUCACAGACAAAUGCAUUUCUCACAUGGACUUCAAUUUUUCUGGUGAUGACUAAGUAUCUGUUGUUGCAAAUUUGACAGGUGGAUGACUGCCUACAGUAAUUUAUACCCUGUGUUAAACCAGGCAUAAAUAUAAAGAGAGAGAACUCAUCUAGAAUAAAGUGCUUAUGGAAUCAUAAAAAUUAAAAGCAGAUGAUCAUAAAAAGUUGAAUGAAGAAAAAUGAAAAAUGAAGAAAAGGAUCCAUUUUAAAGAAAAAGUAAGAAAAUCAGUUGAAAGUAAGUAUAAACACCAGUUAUAUGUGAGCUUCCUAAAUAUUCAUUAAAAGCAAAAGUAAACGUAUGAUUUUUCAAAAGUGGGACAAGAUAGGAGGUUUUUGUGGAGGACUGUGUGAAAGAGGAAAAAAGCACAGGCAGGCAAGACAUGAAAGUAUAUUAAGCAGCCGAUUUCCUACUCAUAAGCUUUAUGUACCUACAGACAGUAGUUCUAGGACUGUGACUUGUUUCAUAUC